CGAGCGGCGGACGGGUGAGUAAUGCCUAGGAAAUUGCCCUGAUGUGGGGGAUAACCAUUGGAAACGAUGGCUAAUACCGCAUGAUGCCUACGGGCCAAAGAGGGGGACCUUCGGGCCUCUCGCGUCAGGAUAUGCCUAGGUGGGAUUAGCUAGUUGGUGAGGUAAGGGCUCACCAAGGCGACGAUCCCUAGCUGGUCUGAGAGGAUGAUCAGCCACACUGGAACUGAGACACGGUCCAGACUCCUACGGGAGGCAGCAGUGGGGAAUAUUGCACAAUGGGCGCAAGCCUGAUGCAGCCAUGCCGCGUGUAUGAAGAAGGCCUUCGGGUUGUAAAGUACUUUCAGUCGUGAGGAAGGCGGCGUCGUUAAUA
rnacentral:rRNA from 1 species